GCUAGAUACCGUCGUUUGGACUUGCGACGAUGGAAGUCGGUGGCCCACUCAUGGGAAAAAGUUAAGUGAUGGCAAAGAAGAAAUUUAUUUUAUGUUCUGUGAUGCUUUUGAACGAUAUAGCGCCACUAUGCGGUAGACAAAGCACUGUCAGCCGUUGAUCGCUGCAGCCCCGGCACAUAGUGCAAAUCACUAAUGCUUGAACCACACGCGUCGAACCUCUAGUAGUGACUGGCGUAAUCCACUGCAGAAUGCUUUAUCAUUUACCUUGACGUGUAUACCAUCCCGUUUUGCGGGUCCUGCAUUUUGUUGUAAAAAAUAACUUCCUCAUGACUCGGUGAACCGGAGGCACGAACGCUCGUUUUCCUGUACUCUCAUUUCGAGGUGGCGCAGAAUGAGGCAUCUCGGUCUUGUACGGUGAUCCUUCUUCGUAUGCUUUCGGGUUUCGUUAUUUACUUCCACUUGGGGGAAAUGAUGAGUUCAUAGUAUCUCAGUGACAACAGGUGGUGCCGCCGCAAUACAAGGGCGAACGUAGCACUAGUACAUCUUUUGUUUUGUGGCAAGAAUUGGGUCCCCGCCGAGUAACAAUACCUUGACAGCGUGGACUCGAAAAAGGGACGUAUCCGCAAUAGUUUCAUCACUUAGUUGUUCAGACCUUACUACAGCGCUUCGACGAAGAACUGGCGAAAUUAGGAUUUCCCCGUAGAGGCUCGUUGCCGCGUGUGCUGCGAUCAUCGCAUAUCGUGCUUUAACCAUAGAAUGGCGCACAACAUUAUCAAAUGCCCCGAGUCGAAUCGCUACCCACACCAGAAGCUGCGUGGUACAAUUGGGGAAUUCGUGGAUUUCAUAGCUGUUACAUCAUCGAAUGAAGCUUUGCCUACUGCUUCAUCGCUGGGUUAAGGCGCGUACGUGAGCAACUGGGAACAAAAGUGAGGAUGCAAGCUGUAUAUUGGGGGAAAAUGUGCGGAAGGCUGAAAGGGUAAAAACCGUGCAGUAUCCGUGGGGAUGGACACGCUGCGGACGGUUUAUAUGUUACAAAGUCGCAACGACUGGUUUUGUUGAUGAAUGCCUGUCCGAAUGCGAUGGCAAUAUUAGAAAUCGAAAGAAGAAAAACUUCACAGGGUGCAUAUUGAUGGGGAUUCGGAUGGAUAGACCAGCCUCGUAUUCUUUCCACCAUGCACUUCGUCUUCUAGUUGCGGAAAAAGAACAUUCGGGCCCUGAACUAUAUCCUUCCAUUUUCGUUACUAGUAUGAAAAUGCGACAAACAGCGUUUCUGCUAGUUAACACAGAGCAAAGCCACAUCUUCAACAUACUCAUCAGGUGUCCCGAGCAGAAAACCAAUGGC
rnacentral:lncRNA from 1 species